rnacentral:rRNA from 1 species
UACGGGGGGGGCAAGCGUUGUUCGGAAUUACUGGGCGUAAAGGGCUCGUAGGCGGCCAACUAAGUCAGACGUGAAAUCCCUCGGCUUAACCGGGGAACUGCGUCUGAUACUGGAUGGCUUGAGAUUGGGAGAGGGAUGCGGAAUUCCAGGUGUAGCGGUGAAAUGCGUAGAUAUCUGGAGGAACACCGGUGGCGAAGGCGGCAUCCUGGACCGGUAUUGACGCUGAGGCGUGAAAGCUAGGGGAGCAAACGGG